rnacentral:lncRNA from 1 species
ACAGCCCUGGCUGUGUACACUGACCCAUCAUUUAGAACUCUGAAAUCAGGAUCACUUGACCGGAUGAGGUCUGCAGACCUGAAGCACUCUUCCAAAUUAACUCUGCCAAUUAUUUUGUCUGCCUCUAGUUUAGAAGGUACAUUAAGUAUCACCUUUUUGCAGGCUUCACCAGCACGACUGAAGAUCUAGAAUUUAAAAGG